UCUUGUAGAUCAGGUUAAAAAUUAGCGUCACGUUUGCUUGGCUGAAUCUUACACUUCAUAAUAUUAUAACAAAAUUAUAUCUUUCUGAAAUCUCAAGAGCGGUUAUAUGCGUAUGUACCGUUUGAUUUUACAAGAAUAGCUCGGUGAACUAAGAGCAAUUUGUCACACAAAAUACAGCUCCCUGUUCUGGCUACUCGAUUACCUUCAGUUACACUGAAUUUUUCUUCAAGUAAAUGAAGUCUCGCCGAUCCUGAGAAGACACAAACCGCUCGGAGUAAUGCCAUCUGAAUAUAGGUGUUAAGCCACUCACAGCUAAACGGCUGUUGUUAUCCUUAUUUCUUUGUUCCUACGUUUCUUGACACCACAGCCGUAGCCACAACCGAGCAUGCAAACGUCAGAAAUGUGUUGCUGGAACGUCGGCGGAAAAUCUGAGCAGACGGAUAUGAUAUAUCUGUAAUAUCAGUCGUCUAAAAAGGAUCCGGCAUGGUCAUCUGAACGACACAUAUCACAUGUGGACAUACUACCUUACUGCUGGUGUCAGUAGUCUUUACGUGAGUAUUUACUAUCGAAUCAGCAAAAUCCGGGCUGAGUCAAUGUCAUACCAAGGCGACCAGGUAAUUGGCUACCCCUUAGAUGGUAUCUACUUCACUUUUUCAUACGGCCCGAAACCUGGACAAAUACGAUAUCAGUUGUUGCUGCACUGCAGCUAUACAUGCACGGGCAAUCUGCCCUCUUCUAUCAAUUUGCUGUGCAUCUAGCGACAAAGUUGUCGCCGACUAUUGAUAUAUUUUAGUCUGGCAGCAAGAAUGUCGUUUAUCAAAUAAUUAAUUAUGAUUAGUUCGCAACCGAAAAUAGA